rnacentral:rRNA from 1 species
CACGUACUGUGCAAACGAUAUUCGGAAUCACUGGGCUUAAAGGGUGCGUAGGCGGCCGAUUAAGUAGGGUGUGAAAUCCCUCGGCUCAACCGAGGAAUGGCGCUCUAAACUGGACGGCUUGAGUGAGAUAGGGGUGUGCGGAACUUCCGGUGGAGCGGUGAAAUGUGUUGAUAUCGGAAGGAACGCCGGUAGCGAAAGCGGCACACUGGGUCUUAACUGACGCUGAGGAACGAAAGCCAGGGUAGCGAACGGG